rnacentral:misc_RNA from 1 species
AUAUUUCCUACUUUGUAACCAAUAUCAUUACAGGAAAUGUAUUAUAACAAUAACAACAAAAUUAAAAAACGGUUUUUUUUCUAUUUAUAUUUUAUGAAAAAUAAGCAAAUAUAAAAUUGUAUACGCUUUGUGAAGCUCGAUUUUUUCUAUUUAUUUAGUCCAAAAAUAAAAAAUUCAUUUCCGGAAUACAAAUUUGCCUACUCCGUUCACGAUCACCACACAGGCGAUGUUAAAUCUCAACACGAACACCGUCAUGGAGACGUUGUUCACGGAGGCUAUGAGCUCGUCGAGCCAGACGGUCGCUUCAGAAAAGUAGAAUAUAAGGCCGAUGACCACACAGGGUAAAAUAGAUUUUAGAUAAUCACUUCUUUUUAUU